UACAGAGGUCCCGAGCGUUGUUCGGAUUCACUGGGCGUAAAGGGUGCGUAGGUGGCUUGACAAGUUUGAUGUGAAAUCUCCGGGCUUAACCCGGAAAAUGCAUUGAAUACUGUAGAGGCUUGAGGUUUGGAGGGGGGACUGGAAUUCUCGGUGUAGCAGUGAAAUGCGUAGAUAUCGAGAGGAACACCAGUGGCGAAGGCGAGUCCCUGGACAACACCUGACACUGAGGCACGAAAGCCGGGGGAGCAAACAGG
rnacentral:rRNA from 1 species